GCGCAGCAGUCGCGAAACCUUUGCAAUACACGCAAGUGUGACAGGGUCAUCCCGAGUGCCGACCGCUGAGGUUGGCUUUUACCCAGUCUAGAAAGCUGGGGGAAUAAGGAGAGGGCAAGUCUGGUGUCAGCCGCCGCGGUAAUACCAGCUCUCCGAGUGGUGUGGACGUUUAUUGGGCCUAAAGCAUCCGUAGCUGGCUGAACAAGUCCCCUGUUAAACCCACCGAUUUAAUCGUUGGCUUGCGGGGGAUACUGCUCGGCUAGGGGACGAGAGAGGCAGACGGUAUUCCCGGGGUAGGGGUGAAAUCCUAUAAUCCCGGGAAGACCACCAGUGGCGUAGGCGGUCGGCUAGCACGCGCUCGACAGUGAGGGACGAAAGCUGGGGUAGCGAACCGGAUUAGAUACCCGGGUAGUCC
rnacentral:rRNA from 1 species